UACGGAGGGGGCUAGCGUUGUUCGGAAUUACUGGGCGUAAAGCGCACGUAGGCGGCUUUGUAAGUUAGAGGUGAAAGCCCGGGGCUCAACUCCGGAAUUGCCUUUAAGACUGCAUCGCUAGAAUUGUGGAGAGGUAAGUGGAAUUCCGAGUGUAGAGGUGAAAUUCGUAGAUAUUCGGAAGAACACCAGUGGCGAAGGCGGCUUCCUGGUCCAGCACCGACGUUCAGGCACGAAAGCGUGGGGAGCAAACAGG
rnacentral:rRNA from 1 species